rnacentral:rRNA from 1 species
CGUAGGUGGCAAGCGUUGUUCGGAAUUAUUGGGCGUAAAGGGCGCGUAGGCGGCCCGCUAAGUCAGCUGUGAAAGCCCGGGGCUCAACCCCCGGAGGGUCGGCCGAUACUGCGGGGCUAGAGUGCAGAAGGGGCAACUGGAAUUCUCGGUGUAGCGGUGAAAUGCGUAGAUAUCGAGAGGAACACCUGCGGCGAAGGCGGGUUGCUGGGCUGACACUGACGCUGAAACGCGAAAGCUAGGGGAGCGAACGGGAUUAGAUACCCCGGUAGUCCUAGCCUUAAACGAUGAAUGCUUGGUGUCUGGGGUUUUAUAGUCCCCGGGUGCCGUCGCUAACGCUUUAAGCAUUCCGCCUGGGGAGUACGGUCGCAAGACUG